AACGAACGCUGGCGGCAGGCUUAACACAUGCAAGUCGAACGCCCCGCAAGGGGAGUGGCGCACGGGUGAGUAACGCGUGGGAACGUGCCUUAGAGUUCGGAAUAACAGCGGGAAACUGCUGCUAAUACCGGAUAUUCCCCUCGGAGGAAAGAUUUAUCGCUCUAAGAUCGGCCCGCGUCAGAUUAGCUAGUUGGUGAGGUAAUGGCUCACCAAGGCUCCGAUCUGUAGCUGGUCUGAGAGGACGACCAGCCACACUGGAACUGAGACACGGUCCAGACUCCUACGGGAGGCAGCAGUGGGGAAUAUUGGACAAUGGGCGAAAGCCUGAUCCAGCCAUGCCGCGUGAAUGAUGAAGGCCUUAGGGUUGUAAAGUUCUUUUGCCAGGGAAGAUAAUGACGGUACCUGGAGAAUAAGCACCGGCUAACUUCGUGCCAGCAGCCGCGGUAAUACGAAGGGUGCUAGCGUUGUUCGGAAUUACUGGGCGUAAAGAGCGCGUAGGCGGUUGUACUAGUCAGAGGUGAAAUCCCAGAGCUUAACUCUGGAACUGCCUUUGAAACUGUGC
rnacentral:rRNA from 1 species